rnacentral:rRNA from 1 species
GGCUACGGCCGUGCCACCCUGAACGAGCCGGAUCCUGUCUGAUCUCGGAAGCUAAGCAGGGUCGAGCUUGAUUAGAACUUGGAUGGGAGACCACCUAGGAAGGCUGGGUGCUGCAGGCA